GACAGAGGGGGCAAGCGUUGCUCGGAAUCACUGGGCGUAAAGCGCACGUAGGCGGCUUGCUAAGUCAGGGGUGAAAUCCUGGAGCUCAACUCCAGAACUGCCUUUGAUACUGGCGAUCUCGAGUCCGGGAGAGGUGAGUGGAACUGCGAGUGUAGAGGUGAAAUUCGUAGAUAUUCGCAAGAACACCAGUGGCGAAGGCGGCUCACUGGCCCGGUACUGACGCUGAGGUGCGAAAGCGUGGGGAGCAAACAGG
rnacentral:rRNA from 1 species